rnacentral:hammerhead_ribozyme from 1 species
CUGCUGAGGAGUCCCAUAAUAGGACGAAGCGACCGUCAAGCAG